GACGAACGCUGGCGGCAUGCCUAACACAUGCAAGUCGAACGAGACCUUCGGGUCUAGUGGCCCACGGGUUCGUAACGCGUGGGAACCUGCCCUUAGGUUCGGAAUAACUCCCCGACAGGGGUGCUAAUACCGGAUAAUGUCUUCGGACCAAAGAUUUAUCGCCUUUGGAUGUGCCCGCGUUGGAUUAGCUAGUUGGUAGGGUAAAAGCCUACCACGGCGACGAUCCAUAGCUGGUCAGAGAGGAUGAUCAGCAACACUGGGACUGAGACACGGCCCAGACUCCUACGGGAGGCAGCAGUGGCGAAUAUUGGAAAAUGGGCGAAAGGCUGAUCGAGCAAGGCCGGGUAAGUGAUGAAGGCCUGAGGGUUGUAAAGCUCUUUUACCCGGGAUGAUAAUGACAGUACCGGGAGAAUAAGCUCCGGCUAACUCCGUG
rnacentral:rRNA from 1 species